rnacentral:piRNA from 1 species
CCUGUCGAUAGUGAGCUUGCUCUGCCA